CUGAUUUCUGCAAGGAAAAACAAACUCAGUCAGAAAUCUUGAUAAUGCAGCAGAAUUGUUAGUUCAAUGUAAGAUUAUCUCUCAACCAAAACAAAAUUAUUUAAUAACUUUAUGAACGCAUAUGCAACAUAUUUUACUUCAGUAUGACAUUUUAAAAUCUGAAAUCAUUUUUUAUAUAUAAUUUUUACUCCAAAGGUUGUUUUUUAACACAAAGCUGCUUGUUGUUGCCUGAAAAUGAUGGUGAUUAUUUGUCUGCUCUAAUUAGGUUCUAUAAAAAAAGUUGCUUGUCUGCCACCUAGUGUACAGAAAACGCCACUACCUUUCAGAUUUUGAUUGGGGCAGCAAGUGAAUGUAAUGACACAGAAUAACUCGAUUUUUUAUGUGCAAAUUCCUAACAUUGAUUUAUUUUUUGAAGAACCACUGCUGCUACAGAGCAGAUGCUACAGGAAAUGACAUCAGUCAUAGUUCGUCACAACCGUUACCUCAUCAAACAUUUUAGAUGUAAAGCUCGUCACAGCAGCCUCAGAGCUGAGAAUGGUUGACUUUGACACAAAAGCAACAAAAAAACUUGUUAAAACGCGUCGACAAAACAACUAACGACUACUUAAAGGUGCACAGCAUGAAUUAGCAUGAACACAGCAGCUUCAGCUCGAGGCCAGACUCCAGCACAGCACAUCACGACGAUCACUACAAUCAGCACAGAUGCAGCGGCGCAGAGGAACGCGAUGUUAAAUACAGGGCGUGUUAUCCUGCUGGAAGGAGCUAUCA